GAUGAACGCUGGCGGCGUGCUUAACACAUGCAAGUCGAACGAACCUUCGGGUGAGUGGCGGACGGGUGAGUAACGCGUGGGAAUCUGCCCUCAGGAGGGGGAUAACGGCUGGAAACGGCCGCUAAUACCCCAUAUGCCGAGAGGUGAAAUGAAUUUCGCCUGAGGAUGAGCCCGCGUCUGAUUAGCUAGUUGGUGAGGUAAGAGCUCACCAAGGCAUCGAUCAGUAGCUGGUCUGAGAGGAUGAUCAGCCACACUGGGACUGAGACACGGCCCAGACUCCUACGGGAGGCAGCAGUGGGGAAUUUUCCGCAAUGGGCGAAAGCCUGACGGAGCAACGCCGCGUGAGGGAUGAAGGCCUCUGGGCUGUAAACCUCUUUUCUCAAGGAAGAAGAUCUGACGGUACUUGAGGAAUAAGCCACGGCUAAUUCCGUGCCAGCAGCCGCGGUAAUACGGGAGUGGCAAGCGUUAUCCGGAAUUAUUGGGCGUAAAGCGUCCGCAGGCGGCCCUUCAAGUCUGCUGUUAAAACGUGGAGCUUAACUCCAUCAUGGCAGUGGAAACUGUUGGGCUCGAGUGUGGUAGGGGCAGAGGGAAUUCCCGGUGUAGCGGUGAAAUGCGUAGAUAUCGGGAAGAACACCAGUGGCGAAGGCGCUCUGCUGGGCCAUAACUGACGCUCAUGGACGAAAGCCAGGGGAGCGAAAGGGAUUAGAUACCCCUGUAGUCCUGGCCGUAAACGAUGAACACUAGGUGUCGGGGGGAAUCGACCCCCUCGGUGUCGUAGCCAACGCGUUAAGUGUUCCGCCUGGGGAGUACGCACGCAAGUGUGAAACUCAAAGGAAUUGACGGGGGCCGCACAAGCGGUGGAAUUAUGGUGGUUUAAUUCGAUGCAACGCGAAGAACCUUACCAGGGUUUGACAUCCUGCGAACCUCUUGGAAACGAGAGGGUGCCUUCGGGAG
rnacentral:rRNA from 1 species